rnacentral:tRNA from 1 species
CUCCCGGUAGCCAAGUUGGUUUAAGGCGCAAGACUGUAAUUUAUCACUACGAAAUCUUGAGAUCGGGCGUUCGACUCGCCCCCGGGAGA